rnacentral:snRNA from 1 species
GUCUCUUUGGAGACAUCCGAUAAAAUUGGAACUAUACCGAGAAGAUUAGCAUGGCCCCUGUGCAACGAUGACACGCACAAAUCGAGAAAUGAUUCAAUUUUUU